UGAGAGACAGUGUUCUGGCCUUCUCUGAGAAUGUGCCUGGGACCUCUUCGAAGGAUGUCAUGGAUAUGGUUUUGGUGACGCAGUAUUUUGAUACGAUGAAGGACAUUGGGGCCUCUUCAAAGUCUUCAGCAGUGUUCAUCCCUCACGGACCUGGCGCUGUCAAAGACAUCGCUUCGCAGAUACGAGAUGGUCAGCUCCAGGGCAGGAUGGUUUGAGGAGUGUUGGAAAAUGGAUACCACUUUUAUAUGCAUACUUUAAGUACAUACAGCUUAUUCUUAUACUAUGUGUGAGGUGAGGUUGUGCCUAGAUGGAUGUUAAUAUCAGUACUUGCUUUGGUUGUGCCACCCGUUUCUGUAAAAAAUAUCAGUUGUGCUAUCACUGUGUUCGCAGCUAUUUGUGUAUUGAGAGUGUUAUAUGUUACUAUAUGGUUAUUAUACUAUAAUUUCUACUCCCUCUGUCCCAAAAUAUAAGAACGUUUUUCACACUA
rnacentral:lncRNA from 1 species